GGAUAUUUAAAAGACAUUUUUUCAACUAUGCAUUUUUAUAAUGCACAUUCUUACUACUGAAUAAUUUAGUGACAUCAAAGAAAUGCUAUGUACAAUGAUUAUUUUAUGCAGCUUCUCUGCACAUUUUUCCAGGAAAAUAAUACAUAGAUGAGAGAAGAGACAAGUUUGUAUUUUGAGUUUAUAUCAAAGCAUUUCAACCCAUGCCUAGAACAAAACAGACACAUUUACAGUGAAGUGGAAUAAAUUUCAUUCAACUGAUUAUUACCUUAUGAUUAUUAAUUUGUUCCAUUUUUGGAAAAUUUUUCCAACUAAUGUGUAUUAGAUAUAAAUUAUUAGUCCUUUUUGAAUUUUUUUGAAUUAUGUAUAUAUCUUUGUGUAAAUUUGUGCAUGUGAGUACAGUGCUUGUGGUGAACAGAAGAGGACAUUGGAACCCCUGGAGCUGGAGUCGAAGGCGGUUGUGAGCUUCCUGAUAUGGGUGCUAGGAACCCUGGAUCUUCUGUAAGAACAGCACUGUCUCUUUACCUCUGAGCUAUUUCUCCAGACUCCCAAAUUAUUGAAAUCCUUUAAUGGGAAGGAGAUGAAAAUUCCUGAAGACCAAGGAUGCUGGCAAAGAAGUCUCUGAAAAGAAUCUCAUAAGGAUAGAGAAGAUAAAAAUUGGUGGAGACAGAAGAGCCUUGAAUGUCAGGAAUUACAUUGGCUUUUUGAGCUUCUGGCUGUGAAGCCACGGCUAAUGCAAGUGUGUGGAGAUCUAAUAGCCAAGGGGACUUGUCUGGUGAGUGCUUAGCCCCAUAAGCUGUUUUAAGAUCCACAAAGGCAAAGAAUCUGCAUGCAAAUAAAGGGCGAUGCUCAUAGCCAACGACUUCAUUCUUAAAAUUAAAAGAGCAAGUUUUAUCAUUGGCUGCAAGAGUGGAGGUCCCACAUCUAUUUCACUACUCAGGC
ensembl:lncRNA